rnacentral:rRNA from 1 species
UGGGGAAUAUUGCACAAUGGAGGGAACUCUGAUGCAGCGACGCCGCGUGAACGAAGAAGGCUUUCGAGUCGUAAAGUUCUUUUAUAUGGGAAGAUAAUGACGGUACCAUAAGAAAAAGCCCCGGCUAACUACGUGCCAGCAGCCGCGGUAAUACGUAGGGGGCUAGCGUUGUCCGGAAUCACUGGGCGUAAAGGGUUCGCAGGCGGAAAUGCAAGUCAGGUGUAAAAGGCAGUAGCUUAACUACUGUAAGCAUUUGAAACUGCAUAUCUUGAGAAGAGUAGAGGUAAGUGGAAUUUUUAGUGUAGCGGUGAAAUGCGUAGAUAUUAAAAAGAAUACCGGUGGCGAAGCGACUUACUGGGCUCAUUCUGACGCUGAGGAACGAAAGCGUGGGUAGCAAACAGG